AAUCCCGAUUUUCACUAUUCUACUCCCUAGACGCUGUGCGAAGCAUAUGGAACUGCAGCGAAGAAGAACCACCACCGUCACUAUCACAAAGCUAUGGUUGGUUCGAGGCGACGUGGAAAAAAGAUGAAGAAGAUCGAGGAAUCAGUUGGAAAACAGAGUGAAGAAAUAAUGGGUCGCUCAACAACCUCGCCAGCCAACACAAACAUGCAAUGAAGAAGAUGACACCAGAAAACUGAAAAUUUAGAUAAUGGACACUACUUUUUUUUGGCAUUCUACAUGUGAAUUUAUUUUGGUAGUGCAGUAGACAAUUUUCUGAAGGAUUACAACACAUUUCACUUAGAUGUGAUUUUUGUGGAAACAAUAUAUUUAUUUUUGUGUGUGUUAACAUUGUGUUGGACUCCGGAGUUGGAAUUUGAUGCUUAACUUAUUUGAUGAUAA